rnacentral:lncRNA from 1 species
CAACCCAAUGCUGCCAAGCCCCUGCAUCCUGUCGAGGGAAAUUGUCGUUAGGCAGCCCCCUCGCUCACUCCCGGGAACUUCCAGUCCCUUCUUCCUCUACCCAUGGUCCUGGGGACCCUAUAGGCAGGCUGGAGAUCCGCCCACCGGCCCCUGACCCCCGCCCGGCCGCCUGCACCUCUCUGUCCCAGAGGCUGGGCUGGCGAGGGGCCACUCACCCCGCGGAUAUCCCAGUAACCCAGAACCAUAGACUUGGAUGACAUUUUGGGCGAUCUUAGCCCCUUCGGGGAUACGCGAUGGACUGUGGGCGGCUAACUUUAUACUGGAAGUUGUGGGCCCGGCCGACGCGACCGAACUGCUCCUCCUCUCUCGCUCUGUGCUCCACCCGCCCUCCCUCCGCGUGGUCACUUGGCCGUGCGCAGGCGCAGCUGCUGCGGCUCCUGAAAUCCUCUGGUGUGAACUUCUCUCCCAGGGCUGUUGGUGCAGCAUCCACUCUUCUGGCAGUGGGCGCCUGGACCUUAGUUACCCGGGGAGCGUGAGUCAUGUUGCCAUAGUUGAGCUGGCACAUAAAACUGCGAGGUGUUCUGCCCAGUUUAUAGAACAAGGAAUUGAAGCUUGGAGAAGAUUGAUGGGCCACUCAAGUUCCCUGGAUGGUCCAGGAUUCAGACUGUGGAUGGCCUAAUACAUCAGUUUUGCUGGCUCCCUGUGUUUGGCUAACCUUAGAGCCUCUUACCUUGCCAUAGUCUUUUCUAUGAAGGACAGAGAUCCAAGGAGUAGACCAACUUACCUGAGUUCACACAGUGGACCUGGGUCUUUCACCUCCCAGCGCAAUGUUCCUAUGUCCUGCCACUGAAGAGACAGGUGGGAGGGAGCUCAAGGUUGGCUUGCCUAACAACCAUUGCUUGAAAGACAAAGCUCCCAAGGAGAGCACAAGAUACCUCACUCAAGACUGCUCUGCAUCACCAGCCAGUGUGAACAGAGCCUGCGGCUGUCAGCAGAGUAGUCUUUGUCUCGGAGACACGCUGUGUCUACAAUUGGACUAGGAACUUUGGAUUAGGGUGGGCAUCAUGCCCCAUAGGACAGUGGUGGUGUAUGUAGCCUCAUUUCUGAGUUUAUUUAGAGAGGAGAAAGAAUGUACCAUAGCCCCCAAAGGCUUUAGGUUACAGUGAAUUCUCUUUAGUUCAGAUGUAGUUUAGUUUAGCUUGGUUUGGUUAGCUGUGGUUUCAUUCUGUUCCGUUCCAUUCUGUUUGGUUCGGUUCGGUUCGGUUCCGUUGCAGAGUUGUUGCUCUACGAUGCUUUGCAUCCCAGCUUCCCUGCUCUCUCUUGCUUUGGUUCCCAUCAGGCCCAGAAUAAAUGACAAGGGGAGGGUCAUAGAACAAGCUAAAAGAUGCUUUUUAUUGGCAGGCUUGGGACGAAAGAGAUCAGGAGUCAGACUAGGAGUAAGUAUGCCAACUUAGGGUGUGGGGUAAAAUAAAUAGUAACCGGCGAGGGUCUCCAACCCAAUGAGGGUACCAUUUGCCUCAGUGUCCGGACCUGUUCAUCUUCUUUGCUCUUUGAUCCAGGAUAUGUGGUUUGCCACUAACUGAAAGAGGACUUCCGAGGGCUCUAACUGGGUACCAAAUACUCCAUCUUGCAUAUGAGAGGUCCUUGGUCUUGAGGUAUUUGAGCUGGUCUCUAAUGAGUCAUCUAAAGGGAGAAAAUAAUUCAGCUGGGGCUGGUUCCUGGUGAGGGACUCCCAGAGAUUAUACCGCCAAUACGGUUAGAGCUUCAAGACACACCUGAACGGAUGGAGCUGAGUCCCCAGAGGAAUAUCCCAUGCCUAGUGUCCCCAGAUCUCCCUUUCUCACCCCAGGAGAAUUAAAAUCCUCUGAAUAGGAGUCAGGAUCCCAGGGCUUCCUUACCCCCAGCAUCCUUCUGACAGCAUCCAGCCGGGCCUGGAUCCGUGGAGCCUCCUGUGGACACAGCAUCUGCAGCUCCCCAGGUCUCAUGUGAAGUAGCUGGCUUCCCACUAGGGACCCGAGGGUCCUUACGGUGCUGUAAAUAACAAUGGUGGAACCCACCAGAAGCAGGGUGGGCAGAUACUAGGUCUUAGUACUUGUGUAGAGUAGGCAAGUUGGGGGUUACAGGAAUUAGGUAUCUGCAGGUACAGGAAUACGUCUAUUGGUUUGUCUCAGUGAACCACAGAACUCCUAGGUUUGAGGGCAGAAACACUUUAGAAGAGACUGGAAGGGAAGGGUGGCUAAGGUGGGAAGCCCGGGUCCUUCCAGAAUUUGCUAGCCUUGACUCUUUAUCAUAUGGUGUCUCCAGUGGGUGUCCCACCCUAGGCUCGGACAAGCAGCUUUCGUCCAGCAGAGAGAGCCUAAGGUGGAAGCAUCAAGUAGAGUGGAAGCUAGGUCGCACACUCUAAGUCUCUGAGAGGGGAUGGGGUCUGUGGUUCUCGCCUGAGCCCUUUACAGGGCUCGCCGCCCCUCAUCCCCCAGGGGACUGGUCACUCACACAGUGGAGAAGUUCUCUGCUUGUAGCCAGGCCGUGACCUCCUCAGGCUUUGAGCUCAGGCGAAGCAUUGGGGCCUAGAAUCAAGGAGCAGUAGAAGUCAGUCAUCCCAUCUCACGAACAUACACAGCUUCCUGUAUUGGGUCCCUUCUAAUGAGAUCCCGUCAGGACGCUUAUCUCACCUUCUGGUUUUCUAGUUUGGCAGGGACCCUGACUUAAUCUUUGGUCAGACCCUAUAAUGAACUUGGCACCGAGGAAGCAUGUAAUGAUACUGAUUAAACUGAACUAAGGUUUGUCUCUAUUUGUCACCUAAUCCUCCCGACUACCACCUCUGACUUAGGACUCAGGGCUUCUCGGUACCCCAACGUGGGGCGCACCCUAAAGGAUGGUUGUCGGUGGCCUCUCGGGGCUCCGGCUGGCAGGGGUUCCAGGAUAUUGCUGGGAAUGUAACCAGUCAGUCCUGCUUCGUUCUUCACCAGCCACCAUCGCUUGCUCUGGUCCAGAAUCUGCCGAAAAUCACCGUAUCAGCCCCCAGAGCCUCCAUCCUCCCAUCUCCUCUGCCCCCAAGACCAUGUCUUUCCCUGCCCGACCUUUCCUACUUUUCUUCUCUAUCUGUAGGCCACCCACUCCAGGCUAACUGUACUUCCCACCCAUUGCCUCUUUUUCUGACUUCAAGCAAUGGGCCUCACCUCCAGAAUCUCUCCCUGUGCCACAGUCAGUUCCUGGGCAUUCCUUGCUUCAAACUCAUACAGGACUUGCAUGUUCAGGGCAGCUCUGCCAGGGCUAGGGCUGGAGAGUGAGAGGUUGGAGUCCUCGUACUCAGGGUUAUGGUUGUAUGGCUCAUCCCGAGGGAAGUGUAGGCUGCUCCUCAUCCUAGAACCUCUGACAUGAGAGACAGAUUCAGGAUGGAUGGAGAAUGGGAAUUAUGACCCCGGCCAAUGGUCUCUUGCAUUCACAGGUGCAAAGGUUCUGUCCUGUCCCUCCCUCCCUGGGACCUCAAGAAUCCACUAAGCAUGUGACUGACAUACCGGAGGGAAAUGGAAUCCUGGUUUCUUAGGGGUAUCUGUAAGCAAGAAAAUCAGAGUGAGUUAGAAUGGGAGGCAGCCAGCACAGAGGCAGGGAGGGGCUAACUAACCAGCCCAACACAGGCCUGCAACAGCUGCCUUUUGUCCAUUGCUCACCUCCCAUAUAACCUGCCCCGUAGUUAAAUCAUGUGAUUUUGAUCUGGACUGGAAAUGCUUUGCGUAGAUCUCAGUGCUAAGCAACCCUUACCAUGGAGCGGGGCUGUGGAAUCUGCCAGCCAUCGUAGAAUGUGGGUUGGUAGGGUUGCGGUUCGCUUCCUGUCCAGUCAGCCCUGAGGGGAGAGUAAAGCUGAGUCUAGGGUCACUGUGUAGCAGCCUGAGGGAUGUGGAAAGGGAGGAGAUGAGAAGGUCUAGCCUCAGGGAUGUGUGGCUAACGGGGAUGUAGUGCGUGUAUACAGAUGAAAAGCUACAGGAAACCCACAAAGGAGCAAAUGGUUCCACAGGAACAUGUCUAACAGUGCAAGCAUCAGUGGGCAGCCUCCUCUUGAUUCUUAAGGACAGCUAUGUUGCCUCCCUAGUAUUAAAGUAGUGUAAUCUGGAGUAUUGGGGCUGGAAGACCCCUCUGGAGACUUUCGAAGGCUGACCCUACCCCUUCUUAGUUAUUUGGUUAUUUAUUUAUAUUGAAAAUAGAGUUUUUCAUACAAUAUAUUCUGAUUAUGGCUUCUUCUCUCCCAGCUCCUUCCAGAUCUUUCCCUAUCCCCACCCACCCAAAUUCACGCUCUUUCUUUCUCCUAGAAUACAAACAAGCAUCUAAAAAAAUCAAAAUAAAAUAAAAUUAGAUAAAACAAAACCAACCAAUAGUAGGACAUAAACAGAUAGGAGGAAAAGAGCCAAAGAAAAGGCUCAGGAAAAGCACAAAGAUACAGUGACACACAU